rnacentral:rRNA from 1 species
GGGCCCGCACAAGCGGUGGAGCAUGUGGUUUAAUUCGAUGAUACGCGAGGAACCUUACCAGGGCUUAAAUGUAAGUUGCAUAAGUUAGAGAUAGCUUUUUCUUCGGACUACUUACAAGGUGCUGCAUGGUUGUCGUCAGCUCGUGCCGUGAGGUGUCAGGUUAAGUCCUAUAACGAGCGCAACCCCUGUUGUUAGUUGCCAUCGAGUAAUGUCGGGAACUCUAACAAGACUGCCGGUGCAAACCGUGAGGAAGGUGGGGAUGACGUCAAAUCAUCACGGCCCUUACGUCCUGGCUACACACGUGCUACAAUGGUGGGGACAACAGGUUGCCAACCCGCGAGGGUGAGCC